rnacentral:rRNA from 1 species
UAAGGAAUAUUGGACAAUGGUCGCAAGACUGAUCCAGCCAUGCCGCGUGCAGGAUGAAUGCCCUAUGGGUUGUAAACUGCUUUUGUAUGGGAAUAAACCCUUCUACGUGUAGAAGGCUGAAUGUACCAUAAGAAUAAGGGUCGGCUAACUUCGUGCCAGCAGCCGCGGUAAGACGAAGGACCCAAGCGUUAUCCGGAUUCAUUGGGUUUAAAGGGUGCGUAGGCGGGUUGAUAAGUCAGUGGUGAAAGCCCAACGCUUAACGUUGGAACUGCCAUUGAUACUGUCGAUCUUGAAUGUGUUUGAUGUGGGCGGAAUAUGACAUGUAGCGGUGAAAUGCUUAGAUAUGUCAUAGAACACCGAUUGCGAAGGCAGCUCACAAAGCCACUAUUGACGCUGAGGCACGAAAGCGUGGGGAUCAAACAGG